AUACGGAGGGUCCAAGCGUUAUCCGGAUUCAUUGGGUUUAAAGGGUCCGCAGGCGGGGAAAUAAGUCAGUGGUGAAAGCCUACAGCUCAACUGUAGAACUGCCAUUGAUACUGUUUUUCUUGAGUAUAGAUGAAGUGGGCGGAAUAUAUCAUGUAGCGGUGAAAUGCAUAGAUAUGAUAUAGAACACCGAUUGCGAAGGCAGCUCACUAAACUAUUACUGACGCUCAGGGACGAAAGCGUGGGGAGCGAACAGGAUUAGAAACCCCGGUAGUCC
rnacentral:rRNA from 1 species